rnacentral:rRNA from 1 species
ACGUAGGUGGCUAGCGUUAUCCGGAUUUACUGGGCGUAAAGAGUGCGUAGGCGGCCUUUCAAGUCAGGUGUAAAAUCUCCCGGCUCAACUGGGAGGGACCAUCUGAUACUGUUGGGCUGGAGUACAACAGAGGAGAGUGGAAUUCCCGGUGUAGUGGUGGAAUGCGUAGAUAUCGGGAGGAACACCAGUGGCGAAAGCGGCUCUCUGGGUUGUUACUGACGCUGUUGCACGAAAGCGUGGGGAGCAAACAGGAUUAGAUACCCUGGUAGUCCACGCUGUAAACUAUGGACACUGGGUACAGGGAGUAUCGACCCUCUCUGUGCCGAAGCUAACGCGUUAAGUGUCCCGUCUGGGGACUACGGCCGCAAGGUUA